UCUGCUUCCAUGUUUAUCUUGAAGUGGGUCCACUCUUCUUGACUGGAAGGUCUGGUUUAUAAUUAAGCUGAUAAAGGCGUUUCACCCCAGAAGUUUAAGUGUAUUCCAGAAAGUAGGCAUAGUUACUAGAAUGUCAAAAUACAUCUAAACAGGAUCGACCUAUGCCAAAACCACAUAGGGUUUCACUUAUUGAUACUGAAUCAAGGAAGCUAGUGGAGGAGUGCAAAAGACUUCAGGCAGAAGUUACGAAGCUGUUGGAUGAAAAUCGGCACCCGAGAUGAUUGAGAUCUUGUCAUUGUUAUGGAUGAGGUACUGGAGAUACACCAUUUUCUUCUUAAACAAAAAGCAAUAAAGAUGCUCCCUUUUAA